GGGGGGGGUAAGGAGGGCGGGGGAGCUGACUGUCAGCCAAUGGCCUAGCCGCUGGUGAGGCCAGACGCUGAGUCCCACGGGGAUUGAAUUAUAUACACACGCCUACACACACACACACACACACACACUUCUCUACCUCCUCACCAGGGAGGGGGGCGGGAAGAAUGAACGCGGCCCCGCCCGGCUCAAGUCCACGCACCCGCCACCUGCUUCUCCUGGAGGAGACCCGUGGAUUGCAAUCCAGGGCAAACCCAAGGUCGGUAGGCAACACGUGGAAAUAGGCGUGACCCCCAAGGCCAGGGGCGCUGAGUACUUUUGCUCUCAGGGAACAUUGCUGGAGGGCCAGGCAAUUCUUGGAUAUCAAAUCACUGACCUCCACUGAGUGCUCAUUUCUUGCUCAGCAGUAACGGGCCCUCAAGGACCCAGGGGGAGGAAGAAGAUUCCUUUACUAGGAGACGCUGUGAUGAGCCAGAUGCCCUUUACCCAUGUCACCUGUACACGCUCCCAGUAAACCCGUGAAGGUGUUGUGCCCAAUUUACAGAUGAAGCUACCGAAACUUGGAGAGACUAGGUAUUUGAAUCAAGAGAUCUGUGGGGCGCCUGGGGGGGCUCAGUCAGCUAAGCGGAGACUUCGGCUCAGGUCAUGAUCUCAACAGUUCGUGAGUUGCAGCCCCGCGUCGGGCACUGUGCUGACAGCUCGGAGCCUGAAGCCUGCUUCGGAUUCUGUGUCUCCGUCUCUGCCCCUUCCCUGCUCAUGCUCUGUCUCUCUCUGUCUCUCAAAAGCGAAUAAACGUUAAAAAAAAAAAAAAA